AGCUUUAUAGUUUAUAUAAAACUUUAAUUUUGUAAAUUAAAAAAAAAUAAUUAUUUUAAAGCUA
rnacentral:tRNA from 1 species